AACGAACGCUGGCGGCAUGCCUAACACAUGCAAGUCGAACGCCUGUAGCAAUACAGGAGUGGCAGACGGGUGCAUAACACGUGGGGACCUACCCUUGGGUUCGGAAUAACCGCGGGAAACUGCGGCUAAUACCGGAUACGUCCUAUGGGAGAAAGAUUCAUCGCCCUUGGAGGGGCCCGCGUCGGAUUAGCUAGUUGGUGAGGUAACGGCUCACCAAGGCGACGAUCCGUAGCUGAUCUGAGAGGAUGAUCAGCCACACUGGAACUGAGACACGGUCCAGACUCCUACGGGAGGCAGCAGUGGGGAAUAUUGGACAAUGGGGGCAACCCUGAUCCAGCAAUGCCGCGUGGGUGAUGUAGGCCUUCGGGUUGUAAAGCCCUUUUGGCAGGGACGAUGAUGACGGUACCUGCAGAAUAAGCCCCGGCUAACUUCGUGCCAGCCGCCGCUGUAA
rnacentral:rRNA from 1 species